UACGUAGGGUGCAAGCGUUGUCCGGAAUUACUGGGCGUAAAGCGUGCGCAGGCGGUUUCGUAAGUCUGUUGUGAAAUCCCCGGGCUUAACCUGGGAAUGGCGAUGGAGACUGCGAGGCUAGAGUUUGGCAGAGGGGGGUAGAAUUCCACGUGUAGCAGUGAAAUGCGUAGGGAUGUGGAGGAACACCGAUGGCGAAGGCAGCCCCCUGGGUCAAAACUGACGCUCAUGCACGAAAGCGUGGGGAGCAAACAGG
rnacentral:rRNA from 1 species